rnacentral:lncRNA from 1 species
UUGUUUUCAUUCUUAAUAUUGAAAUGCAAGUUGUAUUUUAUGAUAAUUCAUAACAUAUAUAUAUAUAUAGGUUGAGAGCACGGAUGCGGCCACUUUUCUUUUUGACAAAGACCAUCUGUAAAACGACAUUUUUUGGCUUAUUUGAUAGUUUUUUUCAUAUUUAAGCUUGAAUCGGAGCGUGUUUAAUGGCUAAACCAGUUAAAGUCUUUCACAUAAACUAAUUGAAUCAACUGAAAUAGACAUUUAAGUGUUUAAAAAGUGUCAGAUGAAUCUGGAAUAUGAGGCCUUAAUCGGCUCUUACCGGACCUACUCCUUUGUUGAUAUAGUGGAUGUGUUGAAAUGAUCGACUCUGUUCACAUACUUUAAUCAAACAGAUCAUGUUGGUGCAUUUGGCUGACGCGUCUUAUCUUGUCCGAAUACCAUGAAUUGUUUAUGAACCAUAAAGUAGGUUGCAACAUUUAAUGGUCCCUGGAGAGGACUGACACUACUAGAUAUACUUGAAGAGAAAGCAUUCAAAUAUUGUGAUUUUUUUAAGA